UACGAACCGUCCAAACGUUAUUCGGAAUUACUGGGCUUAAAGGGUUUGUAGGCGGCCUUGUAAGUGGGGUGUGAAAUCCCUCGGCUCAACCGAGGAAUAGCGCUCCAAACUACAUGGCUUGAGGGAGACAGGGGUAAGCGGAACUGAUGGUGGAGCGGUGAAAUGCGUUGAUAUCAUCAGGAACCCCGGGGGCGAAAGCGGCUUACUGGGUCUCUUCUGACGCUGAGAAACGAAAGCUAGGGUAGCGAACGGG
rnacentral:rRNA from 1 species